rnacentral:misc_RNA from 1 species
AUCCGCCUCCGCCACCGCCACCACCUCCGCCGCCGCCACAACUUCCUCCGCCUCCGCUACUCCCUUCCGAACCUCAAUUCCCCCUCUACCCCUCUCCUCCUCUAAAUCCAAUGCCUUCAAAUUCCACCUUCACAAAUCCAACUCUCUGCGUCUCGUCUUCUCCUUUCCCGUUUCCUCUCCAAUUCGUACUUCUGUAUUUGCUCGAUACGGCGGCGCUCCUCG